rnacentral:lncRNA from 1 species
AGUUUGAAGAUUCCCUUAAGACCGAAACAAACAAGUAAACACCUCUGACUAUGUUUGGUCGUUUAGUCUAUGGUGGAUCUGUAGAUCCAUUUUUUUUAAACUGAAGUUUGGAUGUUUUAUUUAUUUUAGAAAUGUAAAAGAUUUCUGUGUCUGUGAAUGUGCAGUGUUGUAUGGUAGAGGAAAACAUAGGCCCUGAAUACCCUUGGCUGUGUACAUUUGAGUAAAGAGAGCACUAUAAAAUCAAAAACCAAUGAAAUGGUUUCCAGAACACAGAACUAUUAAGCUUAAGAAAAGGACAGAAGGAACUGAAGAGAGAGGAACUGUUUUGGAGCAUCACACUUCCACCUCAGAAGAAAUAAGGAAGGAAGGAGGAGGGUGUUCCCACGGCUCUUCAACCAGGCCGGCUCUUCAGCCUACAUCCCCAUCUCAUCAAGUAAAAGGGAUUUUUCAACUGGACCAACCAGAUGGUUUAACAGUGCACUCCCACACCAUUCAACUACGCAAGGGAGAUACACUUAACAUAUGCAGUCGUAUAACACCUACUAACAUUUUCAAACAUUAAACCUUUAAAAAAGAGUUCUAAAGAAAUAGAAGCUUGAAGUAUCAUCUCUCAAGUAUAUAGACACUACUUCAUGGUGUGGUAAUAUAUGCAUAUAGAAGCUAGUAAACACCUCCAGGAGAUGCAAAAGGAAUUAGAACUGCCACAAGG